rnacentral:rRNA from 1 species
CCGGCUGACUGCGCCCGCCAGAGGACCCUAACUCUUUUGUUUAGUGAUGUCUGAGUACUAUAUAAUAGUUAAAACUUUCAACAACGGAUCUCUUGGUUCUGGCAUCGAUGAAGAACGCAGCGAAAUGCGAUAAGUAAUGUGAAUUGCAGAAUUCAGUGAAUCAUCGAAUCUUUGAACGCACAUUGCGCCCCUUGGUAUUCCGAGGGGCAUGCCUGUUCGAGCGUCAUUAUGACCACUCAAGCCUAGCUUGGUAUUGGGGUUCGCGGCGUCGCGGCCCCUAAAAUCAGUGGCGGUGCCGUCUGGCUCUAAGCGUAGUAAAUUUUCUCGCUACAGGGUCCGGAGGGUGGCUUGCCAACAACCCCCAACUCUUACGGUUGACCUCGGAUCAGGUAGGGAUACCCGCUGAACUUAA